rnacentral:rRNA from 1 species
CUAAGCACGAAACUUGCCCCAAGAUGAGUUCUCCCUGAGACUUUAAGUCUCCUGAAGGAACGUUGAAGACGACGACGUUGAUAGGCCGGGUGUGUAAGCGCAGUGAUGCGUUGAGCUAACCGGUACUAAUGAACCGUGAGGCUUAACCUU